rnacentral:rRNA from 1 species
UACGGGGGGGGCAAGCGUUGUUCGGAAUUACUGGGCGUAAAGGGCUCGUAGGCGGCCAACUAAGUCGGAUGUGAAAUCCCCAGGCUCAACUUGGGAACUGCAUCCGAUACUGGAUGGCUUGAAUUCGGGAGAGGGAUGCAGAAUUCCAGGUGUAGCGGUGAAAUGCGUAGAUAUCUGGAGGAACACCGGUGGCGAAGGCGACAUCCUGGACCGGUAUUGACGCUGAGGCGCGAAAGCCAGGGGAGCAAACGGG